rnacentral:tRNA from 1 species
GCCGGGGUGGUGAAAUUGGUAGACACGACGGAUUCAAAAUCCGUUGAGCUUCGGCUCGUGCGAGUUCAAGUCUCGCCCUCGGUA